CCUACGGGAGGCAGCAGUGGGGAAUAUUGGGCAAUGGAGGAAACUCUUACCCAGCAACGCCGCGUGAAUGAAGAAGGUCUUCGGAUUGUAAAGUUCUUUUCUCAGGGAAGAAGAAAGCGACGGUACCUUAGGAAUAAGCCGCGGCUAACUACGUGCCAGCGGCCGCGGUAAUACGUAGGAGGCGAGCGUUAUUCGUACUGACUGGGCGUAAAGGGUGCGUAGGUGGUUUGGCAAGUUAGAAGCGUAACUCCAGGGCUUAACCUAGGAACUUCUACUAAAACUGUCUGACUUGAGUGCAGGAGAGGAAAGCGGAAUUCCUAGUGUAGCGGUGGAAUGCGGAGAUAUUAGGAGGAACACCAGUGGCGAAGGCGGGUUGCUGGACUGUAACUGACGCUGAGGCACGAAAGCGUGGGGAGCAAACAGGAUUAGAUACCCGAGUAGUC
rnacentral:rRNA from 1 species